rfam:Polaribacter irgensii 23-P scf_1099646005584 genomic scaffold, whole genome shotgun sequence.
UAACCUCUGACGAAAAUAUCGUGAACGUUG